GAUAGGAGCCCAAAGAGUCAGUCUGUUCUUGUCUUUGCAGCAGGGACCCAGGAAAAGGUCACAGUCAGGCCAGGCAAGCCUGCUGGGACAGAGAUGCUGAAGCCAGGACUUUCAGGAUCCAGAGGGAGGAAAGACUGGCCAUCACCUUUCAAACCCACUUACUUUGUCUACAGGUGUCCAGGUUAAGGCCCAGAAAGGCUGGACGAUGUCUGACAUCACACAGUAUGAGAAUGAUCAUCCAGGCUGUAGCCAGGCAGGGCUCAUCUUCUCUUCUUCUUUCUUUUGCUCCUCUAUGAGAUUUUCUUUCUCUGAUACCUUUGGGGGAGGGGGCAGGUGCACAGGUGCCCUCAGAUCAACCCAGGGAGGUUGAACGCUGUGUGGUCUGCAUUCAUAGUCUGGCUCAUGACAAAUUCAUGACAGUUUUUAUCUUGGCAGCCAUAACAUUUCUUGGGCAGCUGUCUCCCAUGGUGUUAUUAUUUCUAGAUCACCCACCACUGAAAAUCCUAUUGCUGUUAAUUUCUGUCCACACAGUAGCACCCUGGGAAAGCAGUUCGCUUCCUCUAAUACUCUAGCUCUGAGCUCAGUGGGCCUAAGGAGUGGCAGAACAUUUUGGGUCUCCACGUAUUCAUUUGCAAAAUGGGAUAAAGGAAGAGUCUUUCCUGUCUCCUUCUCUGGGAUGGUAUACAUCAGAGGGGUCUAUGAGUGUAAAUGGUGGGGGGGUGUUAUGCUAUCAUAACCACAUAGAAUUCAUUAUCAUGACCCUUACUGGCCUUGGGCAGGCUAUACACAACUAACCCCAGGGGCAAGCUUAUGAGGAAGUGGGGCAGGGUGGGGUAG